UAAAAAGUAAGCUAAAUUAAGCUAUUGGGCUCAUACCCCACUUAUAGAGUAAACCUCUCUUUUUAA
rnacentral:tRNA from 1 species